rnacentral:rRNA from 1 species
AACGAACGCUGGCGGCAGGCCUAACACAUGCAAGUCGAGCGCGCCCUUCGGGGUGAGCGGCGGACGGGUGAGUAACGCGUGGGAACGUGCCCUUUUCUACGGAAUAGCCUCGGGAAACUGAGAGUAAUACCGUAUACGCCCUUUGGGGGAAAGAUUUAUCGGAAAAGGAUCGGCCCGCGUUGGAUUAGGUAGUUGGUGGGGUAAUGGCCUACCAAGCCGACGAUCCAUAGCUGGUUUGAGAGGAUGAUCAGCCACACUGGGACUGAGACACGGCCCAGACUCCUACGGAAGGCAGCAGUGGGGAAUCUUAGACAAUGGGGGCAACCCUGAUCUAGCCAUGCCGCGUAAGUGAUGAAGGCCUUAGGGUUGUAAAGCUCUUUCAGCUGGGAAGAUAAUGACGGUACCAGCAGAAGAAGCCCCGGCUAACUCCGUG